GGUCGGGGUUUGGCACGCCUAACAUGAGUUCAAUAUUGGAGCCUCUGAGGGCUUGGAGAGUGUCUUGUUGAGGAUCGUAGAUUCUCAUUCUUCGUAUGUUAUUUCGGUUGCAUAGAGCCACAACAUCUGCUGGAGAUGCAAUAUAUGUUAUUGAAAAACGAGAGGAAGUUGUGGAAAGGGAGGUUAGUCUACAGAGACUUCAAAUAAACACACAAGGUCUUCAAUUAGGCAAGAAACUGAUCAUGAAGACUAAAGGUCAGGACAAUCUGAUUGAUUGAGAUUACAAGCUAAAGUGGAGAGGUAUAAGUUCCACGUAUGAUGAGACCGCUGCCAUAUUGGAGAACCGGGAUAUAUUGAUUUUUAAGAUACCAGAGUUCGUCACUAGCAUGAAGGAUUGUCCAUCAUUUAUCUUCCGAUACAGAUUGGUUGAAGACUUUUGAGUAUUACCAAGGUUACUUAUCUAUCCGAUAUGGAAUUCACAGAAAGUAUACCAAUACGGAACCACCCUAUAAUUUUGAGGCAUGGAGAAAGACUCAAAGAUAGCUGGAUUCGUGGAUUGUUGAGCUUCAAGCUUUGUAGAAGGAAUUAAGUAGUGAUCAAGAAGACGAGACUUGAAGCCGGUGCAUUGUCUAAGCAUUCUAAUUUCUUGGACAUGUUUUCAACGUGCAGGGAAGAAUUUUCUGCAGGUUCUAUUGUCUCAAUUAUUGUUCCCAUGUUUACCAUCAAACUUGUAUUCUAGAAUGACUUUUAAGAAAUAGGUUUUGUCCCUAUUGUCGAUCGGAGUUGUAGUUACGCAAAUUUGUUGCUAUCACUUUAGAGAUUUUUACUAUAAAAAAAAGUCAUUAACUA